UCUGACUNGAGUGCAGAAGGGGAGAGUGGAAUUCCAUGUGUAGCGGUGAAAUGCGUAGAUAUAUGGAGGANCACCAGUGGCGAAAGCGGCUCUCUGGUCUGUCACUGACGCUGAGGCUCGAAAGCGUGGGUAGCGAACAGGAUUAGAUACCCUGGUAGUCCACGCCGUAAACGAUGAGUGCUAGGUGUUAGGCCCUUUCCGGGGCUUAGUGCCGGAGCUAACGCAAUAAGCACUCCGCCUGGGGAGUACGACCGCAAGGUUGAAACUCAAAGGAAUUGACGGGGGCCCGCACAAGCGGUGGAGCAUGUGGUUUAAUUCGAAGCAACGCGAAGAACCUUACCAGGUCUUGACAUCCCGAUGCUAUUCUUAGAGAUAGGAAGUUACUUCGGUACAUCGGAGACAGGUGGUGCAUGGUUGUCGUCAGCUCGUGUCGUGAGAUGUUGGGUUAAGUCCCGCAACGAGCGCAACCCUUAUUGUUAGUUGCCAUCAUUAAGUUGGGCACUCUAGCGAGACUGCCGGUAAUAAACCGGAGGAAGGUGGGGAUGACGUCAAAUCAUCAUGCCCCUUAUGACCUGGGCUACACACGUGCUACAAUGGUCGGUACAACGAGUUGCGAGCCGGUGACGGCAAGCUAAUCUCUGAAAGCCGAUCUCAGUUCGGAUUGGAGGCUGCAACUCGCCUCCAUGAAGUCGGAAUCGCUAGUAAUCGCGGAUCAGCACGCCGCGGUGAAUACGUUCCCGGGCCUUGUACACACCGCCCGUCACACCACGAGAGUUUGUAACACCCGAAGUCGGUGAGGUAACCUUUUAGGGGCCAGCCGC
rnacentral:rRNA from 1 species